GCUUGCCGUUGGAACAUUGGAGCCUAGCCGUUGGGAGAUUCAUGCAUGUCUAUAAAAUCAGGGCAAGAGAAUUUGUUCAGAGAGAGCUAAUUUUUUUUUAGAAUCCGCUUGAACGUUAGAAGAGCCUAAGGCCAGCUGGACUAGCCGUUGGAGAUUCAUACAUUUGAAGCCAUGGUCUAUAAAAUUAGGGCAAGAUAGGGAGAGAGGAAUUGUUGUAGGGAGAGGAUUUGUGGUACGAACUGGUAGUGGGACUGAGCUUUGCAUUUGCAUAGGAGUGUUGGGCGAGAGAGGGUAAGAGGAUUUGUGGUAGGGACUGGCAGUGGGACUGAGAUUCACAUAUUUGAAGCCCUGGUCUAUAAAUUAGGGCGAGAGAGGGAGAGAAUUUAUGGUAGGGACUGGCAGUGGGACUGAGAUUCAUACAUUUGAAGCCAUGGCCUAUAAAAUAAGGGCAAGAGAGGGAGAGAGAAUUUGUGGUAGGGAGAGGAUUUGUGGUAGGAACCGGCAGUGGGAAUGAGCUUUGAAUUUGUAUUGGAAUGUUGGGUUAUUGGACAGAAGGUGCUUACAGAAUGGUUUAUCUCUUUUGAAAGAUUUAAACUAAGACCCAACGUGCGAUGAAACUCUCGGUUCAUGGCUAAAAGGGCUUGACAGUGAGCUGGUUGUGAUCAAUCAGAGACAAUUUAAAACAAGGUUUGGACAAGCGAGAAUUUGAACACAGAGAAACUCAUUACAAGAUUUGUGCACGGCGAUAGAAAUUGAACAUGAAGAUUUCAAAGAAGGGAUCAACUUACAAUAUUGUUUAAUAGUGGAAUGGAAGUAUGAAAUAUGUGACAUUUCAUUUAAAUUGAUUAUUUAUGUUUAUUGUAAACAUUCCUCAACAAUUAUAAUCAAUAAAGAUAUAUCAUUUUUUUUUAGGAGGGGUAGAAAUACCCCUCCAAAAACUCUCAAAGAUGGCCAUGAACAUCUUUGAGAGUUUCUCUUGUUUCUCUGCUACUAUUAUUUUGUUUCAUUUUUGUUUUUGUUUUUUUAAAUUAGUCAAAAAUAUGAUUGUUGUAAUUUAUUUAAAUGAUAAUAAGUUUUAUGGUAACUAAAAAUUGUAUAUAUAUGAAAAAUAAUUUGCUUAGAUUUCAAUUGAAAUAUAAAAUGUCCAUCAAAAUUUAUUUAAAUGACAUAUAUUUGUAUGCCCAUAUAUGUCGUUUUAAAAUACUAAUCAAAGUUAACUAAAUUACUUGCUCAUAGCCAAUUAAAUACUUAUAGAACUUUAUAAUUCUCAAAUAGUUCUCAUGGAUGGUGGAUUAACUUGAAACUACACCAUAAUAUAGUAAUAAAAAAAAUGAUUAAUAAAACUUUCUUCAAAUAGCUAGAAAUGAAUAUCUACUUUAAUUUUAUGUGUUUUUAGCUACA